GGCACAAGUUUAAAUUGUAGUACUAGAAGUAGUAUGAUAAGAAGUCAAGUCGUGAUACUAGUAGUCAUGUCAGCAGUAGAAGUAGAUUGAGAAUAAAAGAAGUAUAAGUCAAAGUAGUAAAGAAAGUAGAAAUAGGAGCAAUAGCAGUUGAAGUAGAGGGGAAAGUACUAGUUUAAUUGACAUUAGCAGUAGUUGUCGUACUUGAGGUAGGAUUUUGUUUGAAUGAUGGAGUAAUGCAUAAAUAUUAAAACUAAUUUAAAACAGGGAAAUUUUAAAUUAUCAAAAGUCCUCAAGUAUCAGAAAGUUUUGAAGUAUUAGAAAGGUUUGAAUCAGUUUGAAUGAGUUUAAAUUAGUUUGAAAAAUUAAAUGAUAAAUCAUCACUGACUGACUUUUAAAAUGUGAAAAAUUUAAAUGAAUAACAAUCCUAAAUACACCCAAUAAUGUCCUCAAUGAGCUUAAAUUUCAAAGCCCUGAAUGGUUUCUGUAGGUCAAAGGUCAUGUGAGGAUAUAGGGGCUGAAGUUUUUUCCAACGCUCUAGAAAAGGGUUUUAAGUGUCAUCCCAAUUGCUAUGUGUACUGAGCCUGGCUUCAUGUGUCUCAUAUGGCCACUAGAAGCAGCUUUCCAGUCAGCUGUGUGUCUCCAGGUGCACAAAUUGGUUGCCAUGGGGACCUUGGAUGCAUAACUAUAGCAGGAGAAAGAAGGCUUGAAGCUAAAGAAACAGGACUCCAAGUAGGCCCUGACGCUCACCCUCUGUAUAUAUUCAUAAGGAGCUUGUGAGAACAAGACUCUGCUGAACACAUUAAUACAAUUUAUUAUCACAAUCCUCAAAACACCCCAUAAUAUCUUCAAUGAGCUGAAUUUUUGAAGCCCAGAAUGGUUUCUGUAGCUCAAAGUUUGUGGGUGGAGAUAGGUGGUGAAGCAGACACAUAUUAUCUGUGUGUACAAGCAGCUGAACUGCAAGGUGGACCUCAAAAAGCAACAAGUACAAGAAUGUGUGUGCGUGUGUGUGUGUGUGUGUCUCGUUAAUGACUGCAUCCUAAACAGCUGUGAGAUCAAAGGCAAAUCACUAACCUACUGUUUGACUGAGAGGUGCUGAACUGCAGUGAAUUUCAGCCUGUGAACUUCUUCACAUAGCGUGAUUUCCUUAAGUCCCAGAAUGAAAAUAAGAACAUCGUACGAAUCCUCCGCCCUUCAUGAACACAAUGAUGUGUUUUUCAUGUCUGUACUUCGAAAAAUGAGGCCACAACAGCGAGUUAAAAAUGUCUGAGCCUGAGCGAUGAUCCGGAUUUUCCUGGAGAAAAAUAACAUUAUGGUCAAUGGGAGAGAUUUCCGCCUUUUUUGGACAGUUGGUCACCUGCUUGCCAAGGGGUACGAUUUAAUGAUUUGAAACCUCUUUUGUGAGAAGCAGGACACAUAUACCUCCAUUUUGAUGUAUUAUUUGUGUCAGUGGAGUGAGAUUUGUGGGCGUGGGAGCGAUAUAUUCGAGCAAGGUUCUGUCGAUCAGAGACGAGGUCUGCACUCUAGCUGAUGACAUCGUCACUCUAAACUCUCCAAUACACACCCAUUAUAAAGCUUGAAAUUUGCUGAAAACCACAAGUUGCUUAAAGCUAAAUUGUGGAAAAACAGUACAAGAUAUCAAAAAACUGAGUACAACUUUAAUAGUCAACAAGUGAAUGAACAUUUUAAAGCAAAAAUGAGGUCUCUAGGUGAAAGUAUGCUGAAGUUAUAAGGUCUAGAAGGUGGAAGAAUGAAAGGAAGAAGUUGAAGAUUUCCCCAUUGACUUCAAUGUUAAAAUUUUUGCACAAAAAGUUAAAAAAAACAAAAAGUAUAAAGGGUAGAAAGAAAAAAAAUAGACGCCAUCAUGUCCUGAAGGAGUGGAAUAGUUGAAAGUUUGAACGGUUGAAAUCGGACAAAGUUUGAAGGAGGAGAAGCGGUCCAAAAAUCGGCGGAAGAAUAAUAAGUUUAAUAAAGAACAGAAUAAUAAGUGGAAAUGCUGAUUAAGCAUUUCCACUUAACUAGAAAAAUUGCAUUUCCUUGCAGAAAAUGCGUGGAAAUGCUGAGUGCUGAAAACUGAAAAAGCAAUGCAAAACUGUCAAUAAAAAAUGGAGGAAGGUAUGAAUGCAUGCAGUGAAUGAAUUGCAGUAUGCAGCAUCCAACCAUAGUAACUUGAGAAUGCAGAACAGCACCAUCUAUUGCCCUGCUUCAGUUACUGCCCUACAUCUGAAUGUAGAAAGUAUGAAACAGCUGAAGUUAAAUUAAUUGUCUAAUGUAGAAAGUAUAGAAAAGAAAAGCAAAAGUAGAAGAAAAAGAAGAAGUUAGUAUGUUAAAAGAGUUAAAGACAAUAACUGUAACAACAAAGUUAAUAUUGGGGGUGUAUUUUCUACUGACAGAGAGACAGUAAUGCACACAUGGAAACAGUGUGUGUGUGUGUGUGUGUGCGCGCGCGCAUGUGCGUGUGUGUGCCCGCGCGCACGAGCGGCCGAGCCCGUGCGUGUGUGAUCGAAGCACACAGCCCAUGACAAGUGCAGAAUCUCUGGCUCUGAAGGAAUGUACUCACCUCCUGGGCAAACUGUACAAUUUCAUGACUUCAGAUCUAUUUUGUGAGAAGCAGGACGAGUGUACCUCCAUUUUGAUGUGUUUUUUAUGGCUGUGGAGUGAAAAUUUCGGCCGUGGCAGCAGAAUAAUCAUGCUUGGUCUAGUGAAUCCAAAAGGCUCCGCCCGCAUCUAGUGAUGACGUCACACGCUGUAGCGUGAGUCAGGCUGAAAAAGGCAGAAAACUUCAUGUUGCUCCAAGCGAAAUUGUGCAAAAACAGUAGGAAAUAGCAAAAAGGAGUGAAUACAACGUUUGUAGCAGACACGUUGCUGAACAUUUUAAAGCAAAAAUGAGGUCUGUAGGUGAAAGUAUGCAGAAGUUAUAAGGGUGAGAAGGUGUUAUAGCUGUAUCUCCAUUCAUUUGUAAUGGAACAAAUUUUGCAGAAAAAGUGAAAUAUUGCAAAAAGUAUAAAUGGUAGAAAGGUGAAAAGUAAUAGCAAUAAUGUCCUGAAGGAGUGCAUUAGUAUAAAGUUUGAAUGGUUCAAAUAGCACAAAGUGGUAAGGAGUUGAAAAGGGCCAAAAAAGGUACGGAAGAAUAAUAAUAAGAAAAAAAAUAAUAAUAAUAAAGAAAUAGUAGAAUAACAAUAAGUGGAAAUGCUGUGUCAGCAUUUCCACUUAACUAGAAAAAUUGCAUUUCCUUGCAGAAAAUGCGUGGAAAUGCUGAGUGCUGAAAGCUGAAAAAGCAAUGCUAAACUGCUAAUAAAACAUGGAGAAAGGUAUAAAUGUUAAAGCUGUUGAAGGGGUGAACAGAAAUAUAAGUUGGAUAAUUGAUUAAUUGGUUGAAGGACAAAUAGUAUGAAUAUGCUCUAUAAAAGGAAAUUUUAUUCAUGCUGAAAGAGGCUAGAAAAAUGUCGAAAAUUGCACAAAGUUUGAAUGAAGAAGGAAAUUGCCUUAAAAGGCAGGAAGGUGAGAAGUGGCAUAAGUUUAAAUUGUAGUACUAGAAGUAGUAUGAUAAGAAGUCAAGUCGUGAUACUAGUAGUCAUGUCAGCUGUAGAAGUAGAUUGAGAAUAAAAGAAGUAUAAGUCAAAGUAGUAAAGAAAGUAGAAAUAGGAGCAAUAGCAGUUGAAGUAGAGGGGAAAGUUCUAGUUUAAUUGACAUUAGCAGUAGUUGUCGUACUUGAGGUAGGAUUUUGUUUGAAUGAUGGAGUAAUGCAUAAAUAUUAAAACUAAUUUAAAACAGGGAAAUUUUAAAAGUAUUAGAAAGGUUUGAAUCAGUUUGAAUGAGUUUAAAUUAGUUUGAAAAAUUAAAUGAUAAAUCAUCACUGAGUGACUUUAAAAUGUGAAAAAUUUAAAUGAAUAACAAUCCUAAAUACACCCAAUAAUGUCCUCAAUGAGCUUAAAUUUCAAAGCCCUGAAUGGUUUCUGUAGGUCAAAGGUCAUGUGAGGAGAUAGGGGCUGAAGUUUUUUCCAACGCUCUAGGAAAGGGUUUUAAGUGUCAUCCCAAUUGCUAUGUGUACUGAGCCUGGCUUCAUGUGUCUCAUAUGGCCACUAGAAGCAGCUUUCCAGUCAGCUGUGUGUCUCCAGGUGCACAAAUUGGUUGCCAUGGG
rnacentral:lncRNA from 1 species